rnacentral:rRNA from 2 species
CUGCGGCCUAUCAGUUUGUUGGUGAGGUAAUGGCCCACCAAGACUAUUACAGGUACGGGCUCUGAGAGGAGUAGCCCGGAGAUGGGUACUGAGACACGGACCCAGGCCCUAUGGGGCGCAGCAGGCGAGAAAACUUUGCAAUGUGCGAAAGCACGACAAGGUUAAUCCGAGUGGUUUGUGCUAAACGAACCUUUUGACAGUCCUAGAAACACUGUUGAAUAAGGGGUGGGCAAGUUCUGGUGUCAGCCGCCGCGGUAAAACCAGCACCUCAAGUGGUCAGGAUGAUUAUUGGGCCUAAAGCAUCCGUAGCCGGCUCUGUAAGUUUUCGGUUAAAUCUGUACGCUCAACGUACAGGCUGCCGGGAAUACUGCAGAGCUAGGGAGUGGGAGAGGUAGACGGUACUCGGUAGGAAGGGGUAAGAUCCUUUGAUCUAUUGAUGACCACCUGUGGCGAAGGCGGUCUACCAGAACACAU